rnacentral:tRNA from 1 species
UCUCUGGUGACUCAGAUGGUAAAGUGUCUGCCUGCAAUGUAGAAGACCCGGGUGUGAUUCCUGGGUUGGGAA